rnacentral:rRNA from 1 species
UGUAUAAUGGGUCAGCGACUUAUAUUCUGUAGCAAGGUUAACCGAAUAGGGGAGCCGAAGGGAAACCGAGUCUUAACUGGGCGUUAAGUUGCAGGGUAUAGACCCGAAACCCGGUGAUCUAGCCAUGGGCAGGUUGAAGGUUGGGUAACACUAACUGGAGGACCGAACCGACUAAUGUUGAAAAAUUAGCGGAUGACUUGUGGCUGGGGGUGAAAGGCCAAUCAAACCGGGAGAUAGCUGGUUCUCCCCGAAAGCUAUUUAGGUAGCGCCUCGUGAAUUCAUCUCCGGGGGUAGAGCACUGUUUCGGCAAGGGGGUCAUCCCGACUUACCAACCCGAUGCAAACUGCGAAUACCGGAGAAUGUUAUCACGGGAGACACACGGCGGGUGCUAACGUCCGUCGUGAAGAGGGAAACAACCCAGACCGCCAGCUAAGGUCCCAAAGUCAUGGUUAAGUGG